AACGAACGCUGGCGGCAUGCCUAACACAUGCAAGUCGAACGAGACCUUCGGGUCUAGUGGCGCACGGGUGCGUAACGCGUGGGAACCUGCCCUUAGGUUCGGAAUAACUCCCCGAAAGGGGUGCUAAUACCGGAUAAUGUCUUCGGACCAAAGAUUUAUCGCCUUUGGAUGGGCCCGCGUUGGAUUAGCUAGUUGGUAGGGUAAAAGCCUACCAAGGCGACGAUCCAUAGCUGGUCUGAGAGGAUGAUCAGCCACACUGGGACUGAUACACGGCCCAGACUCCUACGGGAGGCAGCAGUGGGGAAUAUUGGACAAUGGGCGAAAGCCUGAUCCAGCAAUGCCGCGUGAGUGAUGAAGGCCUUAGGGUUGUAAAGCUCUUUUACCCGGGAUGAUAAUGACAGUACCGGGAGAAUAAGCUCCGGCUAACUCCGUG
rnacentral:rRNA from 1 species